UACAGAGGUCCUAACCGUUGUUCGGAUUCAUUGGGCGUAAAGGGUGCGUAGGCGGCGGGGCAAGUCAGGUGUGAAAUCUCGGGGCUCAACCCCGAAACUGCACUUGAUACUGCCUUGCUCGAGUACUGGAGAGGAGACUGGAAUUUACGGUGUAGCAGUGAAAUGCGUAGAUAUCGUAAGGAAGACCAGUGGCGAAGGCGAGUCUCUGGACAGUUACUGACGCUGAGGCACGAAGGCCAGGGGAGCAAACGGG
rnacentral:rRNA from 1 species